rnacentral:rRNA from 1 species
GACGAACGCUGGCGGCGUGCUUAACACAUGCAAGUCGAACGGAAAGGCCCUGCUUUUGUGGGGUGCUCGAGUGGCGAACGGGUGAGUAACACGUGAGUAACCUGCCCUUGACUUUGGGAUAACUUCAGGAAACUGGGGCUAAUACCGGAUAGGAGCUCCUGCUGCAUGGUGGGGGUUGGAAAGUUUCGGCGGUUGGGGAUGGACUCGCGGCUUAUCAGCUUGUUGGUGGGGUAGUGGCUUACCAAGGCUUUGACGGGUAGCCGGCCUGAGAGGGUGACCGGCCACAUUGGGACUGAGAUACGGCCCAGACUCCUACGGGAGGCAGCAGUGGGGAAUAUGGCACAAUGGGCGGAAGCCUGAUGCAGCAACGCCGCGUGCGGGAUGACGGCCUUCGGGUUGUAAACCGCUUUCGCCUGUGACGAAGCGUGAGUGACGGUAAUGGGUAAAGAAACACCGGCUAACUACGU